rnacentral:rRNA from 1 species
GACGAACGCUGGCGGCGUGCUUAACACAUGCAAGUCGAACGGAAAGGCCCUGCUUUUGUGGGGUGCUCGAGUGGCGAACGGGUGAGUAACACGUGAGUAACCUGCCCUUGACUUUGGGAUAACUUCAGGAAACUGGGGCUAAUACCGGAUAGGAGCUCCUGCUGCAUGGUGGGGGUUGGAAAGUUUCGGCGGUUGGGGAUGGACGCGCGGGUUAUCAGCUUGUUGGUGGGGUAGUGGCUUACCAAGGCUUUGACGGGUAGCCGGCCUGAGAGGGUGACCGGCCACAUUGGGACUGAGAUACGGACCAGACUCCUACGGGAGGCAGCAGUGGGGAAUAUUGCACAAUGGGCGGAAGCCUGAUGCAGAAACGCCGCGUGCGGGAUGACGGCCUUCGGGUUGUAAACCGCUUUCGCCUGUGACGAAGCGUGAGUGACGGUAAUGGGUAAAGAAGCACCGGCUAACUACGUG